GGGCACCAUGUAGAGGUCCUGAGGAGUGAGAAGAGACGGAGUCUGACAGCAGAUAGGCUUUUACCAGAUAGGCCUGAGUCUGCUCUGUGUGUGACUUGGGUGGUAAAAGGGUUUUGCUUUUUGUUUUUUGUAAUAAUUUGGUUGCAGUGACUACUCUGGCCAGUGAUCUCCUUUAAGAGUUGUGCUGCCCCUUGGUAGAAGUGACAUAUUCUCUAGGUCCACAUACCCAGGUGGACAGAUUGGAUCUGAGACUGGCAGGGACCCUCCUCCAG
rnacentral:lncRNA from 1 species